CUACAGCUCCCAGGGCCCCCUGUUGGUUCUCAGCUCCCAUGCUGGAUCUCUGCCACCCCUGCAAAUGGGCUGCUCCAAGCACCUGCUUGCUUUGCUGGUGCCUAGAGCCGCCCCUGGGAACCAUCCACUGGCUAGGCCAUAUUGCAGCAUGUUGUGCUCUGGCCCUAUUCUCACUGGUCCCAACUUUCCCUGGUGCAGUCCCAGCUUGCUCCCAGUUGAUGUUGACGUGACCACCACUCCACGAGUACUAUAGAAUGGGCUCACAUUCUGUCUCUAUGAACUGGGGAUAUUCUCCUCAGCCCCUCCAGGGCUGAUUUAAGGUCCUAUUGUGCCAGUCCACCGGCACAAAGAACCUUAGGAGGGGCUGAUCAAUUGGGCUCAGUGCUUUGGAAACAGGGGCAAUUGAGAAGUAGAAGGGUUUAUUUACUAAAAAUCUUAACACUGUUAAUUAUCUUGAAUAUAAAAUGUUGUGUUUUGUUAAAGAAACAUUCCCUGGUGGUGUGUGCGCCUCUAUUUCUCACAAUAAAAAAGUGGUUCCCAUUAUCUGGCAUUUUGGACAAAACCUAAUGAAUCUGAUCUUGUGGCACAAGCUGGAAGUGAAGACUCUCUGUGAACCCUGCUAUCAAAGAACUCACUCUAAAUUUACAAUGCCACCAGCCAAUCCCCUGAGUAUUGUUGCCAUUGGGCAAGUCAAGUCUACCCUACAGAGCUACAUCAGCGCAAGUGUACCAAUGCAGCUGUGCCGCUGUAGUGCGUCUGGUGAAGACGCGCUAUGCCGAUGGGAGAGCGCUGUUCCAUCGGCAUAAUUACUCCACCUCAGCGAGAAGCGGAAGCCAUGUCGGCGGGAGAGUAUCUCCCACUGACGUUGCGCCGGUGUGGACAGCAUAAAAAGUGUGUCGUUCGGGGAGGGGUUGAGCUUUUUCACAUCCCUGAGCGAUGUAAGGUAGAUCAACUUAAGCGGUAGUGUAGACCUGCCCAUUGUGUUUGGAGAACUGCUGAUAUUCGCUGCUCUCCUGCAGCAGAUGCCCUGAAUGCUUCCUUUCUUAACCUGCCAAAUGUCUAAGUUUUAUGCCCAUAGGUGCAGUUUUACUGUGGAAAGAGGAGGAGUUGGAAAGAGACUCUAACAACCCAGUUGAAUUCUGGAGUGGUUGCAGAGGCUCUGCUUCUAAAAAAUGGUGCUUCCAGGACUGACACUGAAGGAACUGGAGUAUUUAACUCUCUUAAAAGAAUUUGGCAGAAGGAAGGAUUCUCGCUUGCCAUGGAUGCAUCCUUGAAAAAGGGAUGAAGACGAUCAAUAAGAAAUUGGACUAGGAUACUGCAAACCAGCAUCUCCAUCUCCAGCUUUCUGCUUACAACAACACAAAAUCUCUACAAGGUACUCUCAAAUUCCAGCAAAACUCCAUUCAGCUAAGCUGCUGAGGCCUGAUUUCUCCACGGCCAGAUACCUUGUAUCUUCACUUGAAAGGCUUGCCAUUUUGAGCUGUUUUUUCUGACUUUUGCAGCUCUGCAAACCCAGGGUGGGAUCUGAAAAUCCAGCAGAGGGAGGAGGGGUCUCUGAUGGCCCCAACAAAGGAUGAGGUUAGUUCCAGCAGAUGCGGCAGGAGCCGAAACUGCUUGGAGAUGAUGUUUGGUAGAUUGUGAAUACAUUAAAUAAAGUUGGUGCCAGCACUGAACCUUGUGGGAGUCCAUUCUUCUGGAAUUUCCAGUUGCUGGUUUUGUGGCUCAGAGCCACCUGAAAAGUUUACCUCUGAGCAUCAGCCCAGUUGCCAUGACAACCUAUCUCGGAAAAACUCUUGACAUCUUGUACAGCAGACCAAUGUGCCAGAGGUAUUAUAGGCUGCAAUAAGUCUAAAAAAGACAGCUCCAAUUUUCUUCUUCUUUUGAAAUCCAUUCUCAGUAUAUGUAAUAAAUGCUAACACUUGAUCACACAUACUUCGAUUUGGUUGGAAACUGGCCUGAUCGCUGAUCAAAAGUUGUUCUGUCAUGGGCUUAAUUCUCUAUAGGAUCAUUCACUCCAGGAGUUUGUAGCUACAACUCAGGAGUGAUAUUAGGCAAUAGCUAGCUGCUAAAGAGUGAUUUGAUCUGUCUUUGGUAAAGCUAUGGCAGAAAGCUAAGGAGAUAUGUUUUGGUAAACUCUGAAUGUGCUUCAUCUAUUGAGAUGUUAUGAGGGACACAGACUAUAUAUUGGUCAAUGAUCUUAGUGUAAUUGUCCCCAUUUGCCUUUCUGUAGUUCCAAUGUAGCCUGGUGGUAGUGGUCAGGUUAGGUAUGGUAACCCCUAUUUGGAUGAGGAUGGGGCAAAUUUGGUUGUGUGUGUGUGUGUGUGAUUUUCCAGGACCCUGCAGGUGGUUGGUAGAGGGUGAUUUCCAGCAGAUAUGAUCCACCAGAGGUCAGGGGAGGAUCCUGGGUUCCAGUAGGCAGAGUGAAAAGUUGCUGGUUGCUUAUGGUCAUGAAGAAGGUGGAGUUCAUUGAGGGCAACCCAGUUUGCAAGGUCUAUCCCACUUUGAUCAGAUUCUCUGUAGCCCCAUGCGGUGAGGUGGCUAUUGACAUCUCCAGAAUAGAGAUGGCAGGAUGCUGGAGUGAUGGUAGAGCUGAAGCAGGCCAUAAUUAAUUAUGGAUGUUGUAGACAUUAGCCACUUUAAACUGACCAAUUCUUAUGAUGCCACAGUAGUCAGAUGUAGAUGGUAGACUCUCCACAUCAACUAUAUUGGAUAUUACAUAUUUUUCAUGCAAACUGUAAUUUGAGGUUGAAACCAGAGAUUAUAAGACAACUGGCGAUAGGGGCAUUCACAUGGGGUUUCCUGAAGGCAGAUAACAUAGCAUGCUGUGGCUGUUUGACCAUCAACUUUCAACAGUAGCACCUUGAGGGAAAGGCCAGCAUUUAUUGCAUUUUCUUGUCCUUGUCUAUAUCCACAGUAACUAGAUUUAGUUUGCUGGUUUUAGCUUUGAUUUCCCCCAAAGGGUAAUCACAAAGUACACAAUGAGAACAUUGCCUCAUUGUACCCUCUGUUUUGUGAAAUGAUGCAUAAACUGUUCUCAUGUAUGCUACUAUGCUAGCCAGUGCAUUUCGAUUUUACUUCCAGAAGAUGUCUGGAAACUGUGCCCUUCAUAUACAGCCGCACAAACAUAGGAUGCAUUUCAAACCUGAAAGUAAGUGAUCCAGGACAGUGACCUUUGGCAGCUAUCCUAUGUUGUUGGCAUGGGCCUGAUCCAGUGCUCAUUGAAGUCAAUAAACUCUCUUUGACUUUGGUAGGCUUUCAAUCAAGUCCUAUGUUUCCAAAUUAAGAGGAAAACCACCUCUCCAUUUCAGUGACUUGCAUAAACAAACUGUAAUUUCAAUCUCCCUAUCCUAAACUCUAGCCACAGAAAUUAUUUUAUUUAUGAAUAUAAUUCUCCAAUGAUUUUUUCAUUUUUCUAUAACUCAGUCUGAUCUGUGGUGACCCCUUGUGUGGGAGGUCAGGGUUGGGACAGAAGGGAAGAUAUAGAUUGAAAGCGACUGGUUAUAAAUAAUGCUGAAAGCUUUCUUCAUUGUACAAUCUACUGGAACAUUAUGGGCAUCUGUUCUUCAGUAGCUCUCAUAUUUUUAUUCUCCAAAGUGACUAGCAUGUUUUGAUCAUAUGCAGUAUGUUGUUUUCUCUUUCCUCAAAUCUGAAGGACGUUAUGAUAAUCAGAUACUAUUACAGAGGGGAAAUUAGUUUUUCCAUGUGGGUCAUGGCAGCUGUUUCCUAUAUUUUUGUUUUCUGAACCCAAAAUCUUUUCCCCACUUACAGUGAUGUCAGACUGUGUCAUUAGCAAUAAAAAUGAUCUGAACUUUUGCUUUUCUAUUUUGAAAUACAGCUGCCUCUUACCUUUUCUGUUUCAGUUCCAGAUUGAAUUUAUUUAAUAAGAGUUUUCUUUUGUUCUCUAAUGUUAAAAUAAACUACCUUUGGCAAAGCAAACAGAUACUGAACUGAGGACUGUAUGAUUUGGUAUUUCAUCAAGUGCGGCUGCUAGGAGAUAGCUGAUGAACGUCUCAUGUCCUGUUUUGAAAAAUGUAUGUUUGCUCUCUUAAUGGAGAGGGAGCGGAGAUGGGUGCAUGUGGUAGAGAGCUGGGUUAUUUUGUAGUUAUUCAACUGUGGAGAAAAUGUUCUUAAGAAAAAUGCUGAUAUGUGCAUAACUAUAAUGAGUAAUUGUGGCAGUUGACGAAAGAGGGAAAACAAUCAAAUAUAAUUGACAAGGCUGCAGAUUUUUUCAUAGGAAAUAUUGCCUUGAAAGGCCUCAGCUCGUUAUGCUGAAGAGAACAGAAGUAAUGGAAAUUCAGUGUAAGACAAAUUCAUGCAAGAACUAUUGUUUUGUACCCAAAAUAGGUGUAUUCUCCCUAUUUUAAUUACAAAUAAAGACCCACGUCUUCAGCAGGUGUAAAUUGGUGCAACGCCAUUGAUUUCAGUGGAACUAUGCCAAUUUGUGUCAGCUGAGGAUCUGGCCUCAAAUGAAGAGCACAUGUGGUUUCAGAGUGAUUUGGAACAUAGGAGCGCUCCUACCAGUGCCAAUUGGGGGCCAACAAGGUAAUCAAAAUUUGGCUCUCUACGUUUAAGAAUAAAUAAUUGGUAUUCGUUUUGUACUUUGGAAGCUAGUAAGGUUCUGUAAAGUUGUAAAGCAUAUUAUAAAAACCAAUGGUGUAUUCAUAAAAUACAGGUUUGCUUAUCACAAAUUAUCAUGUUAUAGUAGAGCAUAUUCUCUGCUCUGUGCAAUGACAGGAGAUCCUCUAAAGAUCUAGCUACUGAACAGGAUGCUAUGCAUGUUAUUGUUACUAUUGCUUUCUUUCUCCCCCAUUCUUUUCUAUUUGCUAUGCUCAUGCCAUGCCCGGUUUUAAAUUAAUCCCUGAGCCUGCAUACACUUGCUCAUGAAUGAAACUUUACAUGAGUAGUCUUCAGGGCAAUGCUGCAGAAUUCAGAAGCAAAGCAUUACUGCAGCUGUCAAGGCUGCUUCCCCACUCUGAACUUUAGGGUACAAAUGUGGGGGCCUGCAUGAAACUUCUAAGCUUAACUACCAGCUUAGAUCUGGUCCACUGCCACCACUCCCAAA